UACGAAGGGGGGCUAGCGUUGUUCGGAUUUACUGGGCGUAAAGCGCACGUGGGCGGUUUUGUUAAGUCAGGGGUGAAAUCCCGGAGCUCAACUCCGGAACUGCCUUUGAUACUGGCAAGCUAGAGUCCGGAAGAGGUAAGUGGAACUCCUAGUGUAGAGGUGGAAUUCGUAGAUAUUAGGAAGAACACCAGUGGCGAAGGCGGCUUACUGGUCCGGAACUGACGCUGAGGUGCGAAAGCGUGGGGAGCAAACAGG
rnacentral:rRNA from 1 species